rnacentral:rRNA from 1 species
UACGGAGGGGACUAGCGUUGUUCGGAAUUACUGGGCGUAAAGCGCACGUAGGCGGAUUUGUAAGUCAGGGGUGAAAUCCCGGGGCUCAACCUCGGAACUGCCUUUGAUACUGCAAAUCUCGAGUCCGGAAGAGGUGAGUGGAAUUCCUAGUGUAGAGGUGAAAUUCGUAGAUAUUAGGAAGAACACCAGUGGCGAAGGCGGCUCACUGGUCCGGUACUGACGCUGAGGUGCGAAAGCGUGG